CCUACGGGAGGCUGCAGUGGGGAAUUUUGCGCAAUGCUCGUAAGAGUGACGCAGCGACGCCGCGUGAAUGACGAAGGCCUUCGGGUCGUAAAGUUCUUUCGACAGGGAAGAAAAUGCCUAUAAGUAACUGUGUAUGUAUUGACGGUACCUGUAUAAGCAGCCCCGGCUAACUCCGUGCCAGCAGCCGCGGUAAUACGGGGGUGGCGAGCGUUGUUCGGAGUGACUGGGCGUAAAGAGCACGUAGGCGGUGUUGUAAGUCAUUAGUCAAAGACUAGAGCUCAACUUUAGUAAGGCUAGUGAUACUAUAAUACGAGAGUAUCAGAGAGGAUUGCAGAAUUCCUGGUGUAGCGGUGAAAUGCGUAGAUAUCAGGAGGAAUACCGUUAGCGAAGGCGGCAAUCUGGCUGGAAACUGACGCUGAGGUGCGAAAGCGUGGGUAGCAAACAGGAUUAGAUACCCUAGUAGUC
rnacentral:rRNA from 1 species